rnacentral:rRNA from 1 species
UGGGGAAUAUUGCACAAUGGGCGCAAGCCUGAUGCAGCCAUGCCGCGUGUGUGAAGAAGGCCUUCGGGUUGUAAAGCACUUUCAGCGGGGAGGAAGGCGAUAAGGUUAAUAACCUUGUCGAUUGACGUUACCCGCAGAAGAAGCACCGGCUAACUCCGUGCCAGCAGCCGCGGUAAUACGGAGGGUGCAAGCGUUAAUCGGAAUUACUGGGCGUAAAGCGCACGCAGGCGGUCUGUCAAGUCGAAUGUGAAAUCCCCGGGCUCAACCUGGGAACUGCAUUCGAAACUGGCAGGCUAGAGUCUUGUAGAGGGGGGUAGAAUUCCAGGUGUAGCGGUGAAAUGCGUAGAGAUCUGGAGGAAUACCGGUGGCGAAGGCGGCCCCCUGGACAAAGACUGACGCUCAGGUGCGAAAGCGUGGGGAGCAAACAGG